UAGCUUUUGUAGUUUUUGUGGCUAGCCCGUUUGCGGGCUAGCCACUAUCACAUACACAUACACAAACGCGAUGAGCGAUGAUGAUGAUGGUGUCCAGUCCGGAUUUUCGUAAAGUAUCGGGAGUAAUCGGAAGCGCCCGUAUUUUUCUGCCGACAUUUCACAUUUGCAUUUCGAGGCAAUACUAGUGAUGUUGUUACGACGCAGUACUAGUGAGGUUGUUAAACCAGAAAAUUAAAAUAAAGUUUAUCUUCAUGGCUUCAACCUAUGGUGUCGAAACCGAUCAGAAAUUGCGCGUACUUGCCGUGUAAAUAUGGGUUUUGAUUUGCACUUUUGACUGAUUUGCGGGCCAUUUGCCAUCUUGAAUUGUCUUCUUGUUGAGAUUUCAUAUCUCAAUUGCAUUCAAAAUGUUUGGUAUUUUAAAGAAGGGGUAUUGUGUGGAGGAGGUUUAUAAUGCAGCGAAUAAAACCAGCAUUGGAUAAUUAUGGUAAAAGACCAGAAACUGUGCAUCGAACUCGUUUAUUUAAAGGCUUUAAGUAUACCUUUUCUUCAGACAUUGACGGCGUCUCAAAUGUCUACAUAUUUGUAAUAAACCUAUAAAGGAUUAUUGCGUCUGUCUGUCUUAGGAGUUAUAUAGUCGAAUAAUUCAGCAUGAUUUGUCUCACGUUCUCUUAUAAGUUGACUAAUGUUGCAUUAAAAGUGGUAAAAGUUGGUGUGCUAACCAAGAUUUCAGUGUAUUUGUUUGCUAAUAUUGCUAGGCCUAUAUCUCAAACGCUAUUUGCCUAUUAAAAUAUCAUAUGACACGCAAUUUUAAUUCCACGGCAAAACUGCUGUUGCGCAAAUAACAAACGCGAGAUUAAAUAUAUAUGGCAGUAUUACAGUUUAGUAAUAUUGCAUUAAAAGUGGUAAAAGUUGGUGUGCUAACCAAGAUUUCAGUGUAUUUGUUUGCUAAUGUUGCUAUAUC